CCGAUGAGUAGAAGCUGUCAGGGGGCCAAACCCCAGGUCAUUGCUCAGUUC
rnacentral:ncRNA from 2 species